rnacentral:rRNA from 1 species
UACGGGAGGAGCAAGCGUUGUUCGGAUUUACUGGGCGUAAAGGGCGCGUAGGCGGCCACCGCAAGUCGACUGUGAAAUCUCCGGGCUUAACCCGGAAAGGUCAGCCGAUACUGCGGGGCUAGAGUGCAGAAGGGGCAACUGGAAUUCUCGGUGUAGCGGUGAAAUGCGUAGAUAUCGAGAGGAACACCUGCGGCGAAGGCGGGUUGCUGGGCUGACACUGACGCUGAUGCGCGAAAGCUAGGGGAGCGAACGGG